GAAAAUGUGGCGUUAACUGGAAAUUUGGACUAGACCAAUGCUUCUCAAAGAGCGUGCCACCCGCAGCAGAAUCAGGCUCUGAUCUAACACAAGCCUUGUCCAGCCUCAUCUUGAGUUUUCAGUUGAGGAAACGGAGGCUCAAAUGCUCAAGUCAAUUUCCCAGGGACAUGGGCUGGUGAUAUGCCUGUUCAUAUCCUCUGCCUGUUUUUAGAGAAAAGGAGUCCAAAAUGG